UACGGAGGAUGCAAGCGUUAUCCGGAAUGAUUGGGCGUAAAGCGUCCGCAGGUGGCAAUGUAAGUCUGCUGUUAAAGAGUCUAGCUCAACUAGAUACAAGCAGUGGAAACUACAUAGCUAGAGUACGUUCGGGGCAGAGGGAAUUCCUGGUGUAGCGGUGAAAUGCGUAGAGAUCAGGAAGAACACCGGUGGCGAAUGCGCUCUGCUAGGCCGUAACUGACACUGAGGGACGAAAGCUAGGGGAGCGAAUGGG
rnacentral:rRNA from 1 species